AGCGAACGCUGGCGGUAGGCUUAACACAUGCAAGUCGAACGGCAGCACAGUACGAGUUUGCUCUUAUGGGUGGCCAGUGGCGGACGGGUGAGGUAUACAUCGUACUCUACUUUUUCGUGGGGGAUAACGUAGGGAAACUUACUACAAUAUCGCAUACGCCCCACGGGUGAAAGCAGGGGAUCUUCUGAGCUUGCGCGAUUGAAUGAGCCGAUUUCGGAUUAGCUAGUUGGCGGGGUAAUGGCCCACCAAGGCGACGAUCCGUAGCUGGUCGGAGAGGAGGAUCAGCCGCACGAGAACGGAGACGCGGACCAGAGUCCUACGGGAGGCAGCAGUGGGGAAUAUUAGACAAUGGGCGGAAACCUUAUCCAGCCGGACGACGUGGGUGAAAGAGGCCUUCGGUGUGGAAAGCCCGUUUGUUGGGAAAGAAAAGCAGCAGGUUAAUACCCCGCGGUACUGACGGUACCCAAAGAAUAAGCACCGGCUAACUUCGUG
rnacentral:rRNA from 1 species